rnacentral:rRNA from 1 species
UCGCCUGUUUAUCAAAAACAUGUCUUUUUGAUUUUUUAAAAAGUCUAGCCUGCUCAAUGAUAAAUUUAAAUAGCCGCGGUAUUUUAACUGUGCUAAGGUAGCAUAAUAAUUAGUCUUUUAAUUGAGGUUUGGAAUGAAUGGUUGGACGAGAAAUAUACUUUAUUAAUUAAAUUUUUUUUGAAUUUUAUCUUUUAGUUAAAAAGCUUAAAUAUUAGAAAGGGACGAUAAGACCCUAUAGAUCUUUAAAAUUAUUUUUAUUUUUGGGGGUUUAGUAUUUAUUUACAAAUUAAAAAUAUUUUUUUUGUUGGGGUGAUAAUUAAAAAUUUAAACUUUAAUUUAUUUAUACAGUUUUUUUUGGUUAAAUUGAUCCUUUAUUAUGGAUAAUAAGAUAAAGAUACCUUAGGGAUAACAGCGUUAUAUAAUUGGAGAGUUCUUAUUGAUAAUUAUGUUUGCGACCUCGAUGUUGGAUUAAAAUUUUACUGUGGGGUAGGUUUUACAGUUUAGGU